GCUUAGCCGUAAAAUUUGACAGUAAUAUACAACUGCUGUCCGCCAGGGGACUACAAGCGCCAGCUUAAAACCCAAAGGACUUGGCGGUGCCUCAGACCCACCUAGAGGAGCCUGUUCUAGAACCGAUAACCCCCGUUCAACCUCACCUCCCCUUGUUAUCCCCGCCUAUAUACCGCCGUCGUCAGCAUACCCUGUGAAGGAAAUAUAGUAUGCACAAUGGGCAGACCCCAAAACGUCAGGUCGAGGUGUAGCGUAUGGGGAGGGAAGAAAUGGGCUACAUUCUCUAAUCUAGAGUACUACGGAGGGGGCUGUGAAACCAGCCCCUGAAGGUGGAUUUAGCAGUAGAUCGGAACUAGAGCGUCCUGUCGAAACUGGCUCUGAGGCGCGC
rnacentral:rRNA from 1 species